rnacentral:rRNA from 1 species
GCGCGAAAACUUCGCACUGUGCGAAAGCACGACGAGGGAAUCCCAAGUGCUGGCUCGUAAGAGUCAGCUGUUUUUCUGUCUAAAAAACAGGGAGAGUAAGAGCUGGGUAAGACGGGUGCCAGCCGCCGCGGUAAUACCGGCGGCUCGAGUGGUGGCCGCUUUUACUGGGCUUAAAGGGUCCGUAGCUGGAUUCACAAGUCCCUUGAGAAAUCUAUCGGCUUAACUGAUAGGCGUUCAGGGGAUACUGUGGUUCUAGGGACCGGGAGAGGUGAGAGGUACUGCCGGGGUAGGAGUGAAAUCCUGUAAUCCCGGUGGGACGACCUAUGGCGAAGGCAUCUCACCAGAACGGCUCCGACAGUGAGGGACGAAAGCUGGGGGAGCAAACCGGAUUAGAUACCCGGGUAGUCCCAGCUGUAAACGAUGCGCGUUAGGUGUGUCAGUGACCACGUGUCACUGAGAUGCCGAAGGGAACCGUGAAACGCGCCGCCUGGGGAGUACGGUCGCAAGGCUAGAAACUUAAAGGAAUUGGCGGGGGA